AUAGAAGAUACAAUAAAAAGACUUACAAACUGGUUUGUAGCAUUCCAAAUACCUAUAGGUUGUCUUAAAAGCAUUAUUUAUAUCUCAAUGAUUCAUCAGAUAAAUCCUGUAAUAAUAUUACCAAUUUUUACCACAAAACCGCAUGAAAUUACGUCAAUGACAUAAUCGAUAUAAUUGAAAAUAUUUGCCUUCAAUUAGAAUGUAAAAGGAUUGAAUUACAAUCUACUUUGAAAAAGAUUGUAUAUGUUAGGAUGUUUCUGAUGAAGGACAUCUUUCCUUUCUACCUUUUGCAUUGAGUUUCAAACUUGUUAUAUACAGUCAACUAUGACUAGGAGUUAUAUUUAUAAUUUUUCCAAGCAUCUAAAAUGUUCGUUCAAAAAUUUACAUUUUCACCAACCAAUAUUUAACAUAAAAAAAAUGUAUAGACAUUCACUAUUUAACAUUUUCUAAAGUACUAAGUAAGUAAUGUACUAAAUAAAAGAGUAUUUUAAGAAUGCAUUAAUUUUUCUGUAAAGAUUAGUUUCUUUAAAAGAAGGUAUAAUUAUUUGUACAAACGGUUUGUUUGUAUACGCUAAUGUAAGCCUAAUUUUCUGGUUUUCAAAUGAAUUAUCCUUAUUAUAAUGCUACGAUAACCAGUGAUUAUUAACAUAUUUCCACUUUAAUACUUUAGAUACUAAAAAAAUGAAGAACUAUAACACAUAAAUUAAAAAAAAAGACAAUCUUUAGAAUUGCUAUAUUAUUAAUCUAACAAUUUAAUAUCAUCAAAUUAAUUCCUCCUUACCUCACAUUCUCCAUAAUCAUUCUAUUUAUAAUCCUCUUAUUAAGAAGAAAUUAACUGUUAGGAAAAAGUAUAGUAUAAAAAAUAUUAGCAUAUUAAUGCGGAAAAUGCAUAUAUAUUAGGUUAUAUACGUUGAUAUAAACGAACCUUUUAAUUUUUAAUUACAUUUUUAUUUAUUUAUUUAUUUAUUUUGAAUUGUUCUCUAUUAAUCCAAUCCCAGUUCAUAAACUUUUGGCUUUAUAAUUUUUCGUAUAUUUCUAUUAUUAAUUAUUAUUAAUAUUAUUAUUAUUAAGGCUGUUCAUGAAUUUUUGUUCAUAACAUACAUGGCUUCAGCGACAAAUAUGGACAAAAUAUGAACUACAAGCGUAAUAGAGAAACACUAUUCCCCUAUAUAUAUAAUAUACUAUUUAAAUAUGAUUGUUCAUUACCUUUGAUUUUACAAUGGGUAAUUUCAACAAUAAGUACAAAUGUAAUUCUUAAACUAUUUUGAUGAACGAAGAUGAAGGAUCAAGCACGAACAUUACUUUUGCGAAUUUUUGAAAAAACUUUAAUUUCUUUGAAAAAAAAUCGUAUCAAAAAACGAUGUUUUUUCGAGAAUAGUUUAUGCAUAAAAAUAAAACUUUCAAAAAAUCGAAAAAGUUAUGUUCUCCCUUAAAUCUUCAUAUUUAAAAUAAGGUUUUAUUAAUUGAAAUAAUUCAAGAAUUACACCUGUACUCAUUGUUGGCAUAAUAAGAUUAGGGAUAAUGGACAAUCUUAUCCAUAUACGUGUUAUAAGAUUAGGGAUAAUGAACAAUCUUAAAUACAUAUUAUUGUAAUCGAUUAAAAAUGGAUAUUAAAAAAGAACUUCGUAUAACUCUUUAGACACGCUGUUAUGCUAAUGAGAAAUGUUAUUUUCGGACGAAUUUGCAACGUCUACGAUAAAGUCUUAUAUUACUUCAUUGACUAAUUUAGACGGCGCUAUCGAUCGAAUUAGCAUAAAGAUGAUUUUGCAUAAACUAAUUAAAUGGAUAUUUUAUAUAUUUAUUGUUAUUAUACUAGUAUAUUUCUUCUCAAGCACGACGGAUGGCUAAGAUUUAAGGAAGUAUUUUUGUAUUUCUUUUUUCCGAAAUAAUAAAAAAAUUAAACAUUCGAAAAAAGGAGACCCAUCCAAGGCCAACAUUUGAUAUUUAUUAAUCAGAGUCUCAAGGGCCCACAUUUGAUAUUUAUUAAUCAGAGUCUCAAGGGCCCAUAUUUGAUAUUUAUUAAUCAGAGUAAAUAAAAAUAAAUAGGAAAUAUGUAGGUAUGAUAUCGAGCGUAAGUUCGAUAGAAAAGUUUUCUAUGCUUUUUUCUAAGAAAUUAUUUUAGAAUUUUAUUAUAUUCAAACUAUGUUUAAUCGGAAUUAGAUUUAAAAGAUUUUAAUAAAGUCUUGAAAUAUGCAACCAUUCGCUCGGUAGCACUUGCAUCCCAUAAGAUUUCUAUAUAUCGCAAGUAUUAUCAACCCUGGUCUUAUCAGAAGGUUACUGCAUCUGGAGAUCCAUUUAUAGCUUCUCGUAUAAAAAUCUAAACUGAUAUGUAUUCAACAUAAUCAAUUUUAAAUCGAUAGUAUAUAUGUAUAUUAAUCAUAUCUUAGGAUUUUUGUAAUGUUGGUAAGAAUUGUUUAUAUGUUAGUAAAAUAAUCUUAUUUAUUAAUUAUUCCCUCCCGAGUUCACGAUCUUUCGCGAUUUAUACGCGGAACUAACUGUUAAGAUCACAAUUUAACGGUGAUUCUAUUUGUAAAGAAUUAUUCUUCUAAAAACAAAUCAAAUCGCAAUGUGUACAAUGCGUUUGAAAACAACCAUUCCGUAUUUCAUCUAAUUGAAAACUUUUAUGUCCCUCCGUGCAAAAAUUUAAGCCUGUUUCUAUUCCAUACAAAUUUGAUUCGAUAGUACUACAAAAUUUGUUUCUUGUAUGGAAAUAUUCAAAAUUUCAAUAUUCAAAUAAUUAUAAAUGAUUUCGGACAAAAAGAACCUAUCCUGAUCUGAUAAAUAAAUCAAAAAAUAUAAAAUCAUUCAUGAGUAAAUCUGCAAAGAAAUUUACUCAUAGUCAUUCAAUGCUUUUCUACUAAUUAAUUACAAUCAUUCAUGCCAAUUUGGACCUUUGCUUAACGAGUGAUCGGAGGGACUUAAAAAUACACUUACUAUUUAAGGCUGUUCAUUAUCUCUGGUUUUUCAAUGGAUUACGCUUUCAAUGAGAACAGGGGUAAUUGUGACCGAUUUUAUUGAACAAGGAUUACUACUACUCUCAUUGGUGGCGUAAAUGCUAUUUUUGAUAUUUUUCACGAAGAAAAAAUUUAGUAUUCAAGUGUUCCUCAAUAUUUGCGGCAAAAGAGAUGAAGCUCGUACCCCUACUAUUGAUUUUCAUAUACACGUUUGAAUAGUAUCUUUUAUGCUCUGUGAAAUAGCGAUUGCCUACUUGGUAGUGUGCUUAACCCAUUCGAGACCGCGAAUUUUUUCAAACACGGUCCCCAGGAUCUAAAUUUCUUUUUUCAUCGUUACUAUUGCACCCCGGUAUGCAGCCGAUCUCAUAGCCUCGUAAAGGCAUUGCACACACAGCGUGCAAUUGAUCUCGAAUGGGUUAAAUAGCUGAUGCUCAGAUUUUUUGAACAUUUCCAAACACAAAGAAAUGCGUUUCACAGUGCUCGUACAGAGAAGCUAUGAUAAUUCACUCGACUAUUUAAUAAGCUGUGACCAGAUGAUUCUAUGACAAAAAUAAGAAAAUACAUGUCCAAUCGUUUAUGUCAAAGGAUUUGAGUUUCUAAAAUUGUCAAAUUUCUGAAAAAUUUGUAAUUUCUUUUAGAUUUUAUAUAGUAAAAAGAUAGAAAUUUUUUAACCAAUGUGUCGCACAUUGGCAAGCGUAUAGAUUCGUAAUUAAGGAAUUGUAAGUUCGAGGCUAAAAUGAUUCCAACUACUUAAAGAUUAUUAAUCUAGUAAGGUAUUACUAUCCUAUCUCAUAUUUAUUUCCUCCACUGGCUGACGUGAACUUAGCGUGAUCUGUGCUG